UGUCCUACGGGGCGCAGCAGUGGGGAAUAUUGGGCAAUGGGCACAAGCCUGACCCAGCAACGCCGCGUGAAGGAAGAAGGCUUUCGGGUUGUAAACUUCUUUUCUCAGGGACGAAGAAAGUGACGGUACCUGAGGAAUAAGCCACGGCUAACUACGUGCCAGCAGCCGCGGUAAUACGUAGGUGGCAAGCGUUAUCCGGAUUUAUUGGGUGUAAAGGGCGUGUAGGCGGGAGCGCAAGUCAGAUGUGAAAACUCAGGGCUCAACCCUGAGCCUGUAUUUGAAACUGUGUUUCUU
rnacentral:rRNA from 1 species